GACAGAGGGUGCAAACGUUGUUCGGAAUUACUGGGCGUAAAGCGAGUGUAGGCGGUCUCGUAAGUCGGGUGUGAAAGCCCUGGGCUCAACCUGGGAAUGGCAGUGGAUACUGGCGAGCUAGAGUGUGAUAGAGGAUGGUGGAAUUCCCGGUGUAGCGGUGAAAUGCGUAGAGAUCGGGAGGAACACCAGUGGCGAAGGCGGCCAUCUGGAUCAACACUGACGCUGAGGCACGAAAGCGUGGGGAGCAAACAGG
rnacentral:rRNA from 1 species